CGCGUGGUUCUAUUUUGUUGGUUUUUAGAACCGCCGUAAUGAUUAAUAGGGACAGUCGGGGGCAUCUGUAUUCAAUUGUCAGAGGUGAAAUUCUUGGAUCUAUUGAAGACAAACUACUGCGAAAGCAUUUGCCAAGGAUGUUUUCAUUGAUAAGGAACGAAAGUUAGGGGAUCGAAGACGAUCAGAUACCGUCGUAGUCUUAACUAUAAACUAUGCCGACUAGGGAUCGGACGAUGUUAUUUUUUGACUCGUUCGGCACCUUUCGAGAAAUCAAAGUGCUUGGGCUCCAGGGGGAGUAUGGUCGCAAGGCUGAAACUUAAAGAAAUUGACGGAAGGGCACCACCAGGGGUGGAACCUGCGGCUUAAUUUGACUCAACACGGGGAAACUCACCAGGUCCAGACACAGUGAGGAUUGACAGAUUGAUAGCUCUUUCUUGAUUCUGUGGGUGGUGGUGCAUGGCCGUUCUUAGUUGGUGGAGUGAUUUGUCUGCUUAAUUGCGAUAACGAACGAGACCUUAACCUGCUAAUAGCCGUCUGCUCGGCAGUACGCUGGCUUCUUAGAGGACUAUCGGCUCAGCGAUGGAGUUGAGCAUACAGUCUGUGAUGCCAUAGAUGUCUGGCGCACGCGCGUACACUGACAGCAGCGAGUAUUCUAGCAGAGCUGGUAUCUGUACUGUCGUGCUGGAUGAGCAUGCAUAGCGAUCGUCACUG
rnacentral:rRNA from 1 species